GGAGAAGAGGCGCGUGGUCAGCGCGAGGAUCACUUUCAGCAGAACAGGAAGUGCGAGGGGGUGGGCAGCGCGCGGCGAGGAUGGCACGAGCCCCUCGCCCUGGGGCGCACCGCACGCGCUGAGGCAGAGACAAUGGCAGGACCGCGAUGCAGCUAUUUUGAGGGUAUGGAACAGGAGGUGCUGAGUAGUGCAGUGAAAAGACUAGGGACCCAUAGAAGAACUACAUUUCCCAAAGUGUUUGCAUGUACAUAGGGCCCCGUGAUUAAUUCUUACUAGUGGAACAUGACCCCUGCUGAGCAGUUAAGAGAGUGUAACAAAUUGGAUUAUCAUAUGUCCUCCAACCUCAAGGUCACUGUGGAACACACAAGGAAGGUCCUUCAGCCCAAACAGUAUGUUUUUCUAUUUUCGAGGCUGGAAUGCCACCAUUUCAUAUUCAUUCUGCUGGAUGUUCUUACCCCUAGAUGAAAUGUAACCACAUGUCAGUGUAAGAUACAGCAUUUUAGAAGAGACUAAUGUCUGCUGCAUGAUGGAAUUACCUACAAAGAUCAUCCAACAACCACAUUCACAAAGCCACCUUCUAAAUAUGGUUAUUAACCCAGAGCUUCAAAGGAAUCUGAUAACCUGCUGAACAGGUUUGCUCCAGGCUUGGAAGUCUACAGUGGAGGAAGGAGGGAGCUGUGGUCAGCUUUUUUCCUCUGCUUAGUACCCCUUUUCUCUCAUCAGUUGCUGUUUUGGGCCUUUUCAAAGCUGCAAGAGGGAAGGAGGAAAGGGAAGCCAGCUGCCACAUCAUAGGGACACUCAAGCAAACUAUGGAGAGACCCAUAUGGCAAGAACUUGAGGCUUGUAAACAACCAUGUGAGUAAACCUGGAAGUGGAUCUUCUGAAGCCUGCCAAGCAGCACAUUGAGUGAGUUUGGAAACAGACUGACUCUCACUUGAGCCUUUAAAUGACUGCAAUUUCUUGAAAGACUUGGAGCCAGAACCACCCAGCUAUGUCACUCCUGGAUUCCUGACACACAGAAACUGUGAGGUAAUAAUGGUUUUUUGUUUCAAAUUGCUAAAUUUGGAAUAAUUUUCUAUGUAAUAAUAGAUAGCUCUAUUAUCUCCCCCAAAUUUAAAGGCUUUUCUGAUAGAAGUGGUGGUGAUAUUAACAAAGGUGUUUUGUUUUGGCAGGGAGGAGGAGGCAGGGAGGUUGUUAUAUAUUGUAUAAACUAAUGCAACAUGUCAAUGGAAGAUCUGCAUAACUCAGAGAACCAAUAUUAUUAAAAUGAUCAAUAUAUGAUGUUCCAAAAUCAUGCUUUAAUAAAAGAUCCAUUCAAAGUG